AAAUGCUAAACGUGCCACGUGUGAUGUCUGCAGGAGAAAGGGAGGGCAAAAACAAACAGCACGCGUCCCGAGAUGAGUGACUGCUUGCGGAGGCCUUGGGAUCUCUGCUUCUGCUCGCUAGGAAUAGGAUUCUAGGUCAGCAAGGAAAUCCCAUUAUUACGGCAAGCCGUGAUGGAUAACUUUAACCCUACAUGCAUGUGCUUUUGCGCUUGCGUGUGUCUGUGUGCUUUUGUGUUAUUCGAACACUUGCAGAAAAUGUUUGAUGGUGUUUGCUAGCACAUGUAUGCUCGAAUAAGUUGCUAUUUACUCGGUCAGAACGUGAAAACAACUGCCACCUUUGGUGCUGAAUGGGACUGAUUGCUAGUCAGUAAGCAGGCGGCGGAUGAUCACUGUUAUCUGGACGAGGCAGAAGGGCUGGGGGAGGGUGCCUGUACCUAACAGACACCCCAAAGGAAAAACCUCAACGACUUGGAGGGUUGCAUGAAACCAAAACAAGGGGAAUGCAAUGAAAGGCUAUGAGUGAAGACCUGAAAUUCAGUCCCGAGGAAGCUACUUUGAACUUUUGCUGAGCUUCUUGUAGUACAACUACAGUAAAGUAUUAUCAAAAAUAGUAAAUAAAAUGAACCUAACUCGCAUUGAGCUCAGGACAAGAAUGAAGCAAGUGAAGCACGCUUCCUUUUUCCUGCCUGGAAAAGGGAUGUGGAAAACUGUGGGGCUGUACACCUUUUUCCGGAUGUACGCAGACUACUGCAUGAUUGUCUAAAAGGAUGCAUGAAACAAUUUUUCUAAUUCUGGCUCAUAUAGGACAAGCCACUAAUUAUUUUAUCAGUAUGCUGUGCCCAAGAACAAAUGAAUGGCCAAUAUUAAAAUCG